UACGUAGGGUGCGAGCGUUAAUCGGAAUUACUGGGCGUAAAGCGUGCGCAGGCGGUUCGUUGUGUCUGCUGUGAAAUCCCCGGGCUCAACCUGGGAAUGGCAGUGGAAACUGGCGAGCUUGAGUGUGGCAGAGGGGGGUGGAAUUCCGCGUGUAGCAGUGAAAUGCGUAGAGAUGCGGAGGAACACCGAUGGCGAAGGCAGCCCCCCUGGGUCAAGAUUGACGCUCAUGCACGAAAGCGUGGGGAGCAAACAGG
rnacentral:rRNA from 1 species